rnacentral:rRNA from 1 species
UACGGAGGGGGCUAGCGUUGUUCGGAAUUAUUGGGCGUAAAGGGCGCGUAGGCGGCCGGAUAAGUCUGACGUGAAAUCCCUCGGCCUAACCGGGGAACUGCGUUUGAAAUUGUCCAGCUCGAGUCCGGGAGAGGGUAGUGGAAUUCCCAGUGUAGCGGUGAAAUGCGUAGAUGUUGGGAGGAACACCGGUGGCGAAGGCGGCCACCUGGACCGGUACUGACGCUGAGGCGCGAAAGCCAGGGGAGCAAACAGG